rnacentral:rRNA from 1 species
GGCCGCGGGAAUUCGAUUCAGGCCUAACACAUGCAAGUCGAGCGGAUGAAGAGAGCUUGCUCUCUGAUAAAGCGGCGGACGGGUGAGUAAUGCCUAGGAAUCUGCCUGGUAGUGGGGGAUAACGUUCCGAAAGGAACGCUAAUACCGCAUACGUCCUACGGGAGAAAGCAGGGGACCUUCGGGCCUUGCGCUAUCAGAUGAGCCUAGGUCGGAUUAGCUAGUUGGUGGGGUAAAGGCUCACCAAGGCGACGAUCCGUAACUGGUCUGAGAGGACGAUCAGUCACACUGGAAGGGAGACACGGUCCAGACUCCUACGGGAGGCAGCAGUGGGGAAUAUUGGACAAUGGGCG